CUUUUUCGUUUCUGCGGCUGGGAGGCUUGAGCUGUCUAUCCCCAAGAACAGAAACACCAGUCAGUUUCAGGCUUGUGCGCCGCGCAGCGGCGACCACGAUGCUGAAGGCUCUUCCCGCGCGCUUCCUCGUCGUCUCGCCGGAGCCCGGGGGGCGGCGCCCGAGGCCUCGUCGACGAUCCCUACGGCCCAUUUCGUCGGCGCUGAUGACCAACCCCGCGUACUUCGAGGUGGGCAGAUUAUUGGGUAGCUAUGGCUUCAUGAACAUCACAAGCUAUUCAUCUUCUCAGUCUGGAGGGCUUCCAAACGAUAUUGGUAAUCAAGACCUUAGUCUUGGAUAUUCACCAGAAGAGAUUGAGCGAUUAAGAGUCCAAGAUGUUGGAGAAGGAGAAGUGAAAAUUAGACUCUAUGAGGGAAGAGUGGUGCAAGGUCCAUUGAAGGGCACACAGACUGUAUUUAAGGUAUACCCUGGAGCUAUUGCUGGUGCUUCUGAAGCUAAUUUGAUGGCAUUGAAUGAGCUGAGGACUCAUGCUUUUCUUCAGAGUAAUGCAAGGGAUAUCUGUGAGAACAUUCAGUUUCUGUUAGGAGCCUUUGAGACAGCUACUGGAGAGCAGUGGCUUGCUUUCCGCGACGAUGGGAGAUACAGUGCUGCAGACUAUGCAAAAAUAACCAGUGAAAGGCAGUUGAAGGAACGGCCUAAUUUUUGGAAUCCCUAUGAUCGUGCAUACAAAUUGGAACUGAGGAGAUAUUUUGUCCUUAGGCUGCUUAAUGGAGCUAUGUGUGGCCUUGUCCACAUGCACAAUCAUGAUAGACUGCACCAAAGCCUUGGCCCCUCUUCUGUUGUUCUCAACACCGUUGCAGAGAAAAAUGGAUACUAUUUACUUCCACAGCUCCGUGAUUUGGCAUUUUCUGUAGAUAUUGGGUAUUCGUCUGUGGGGGUUGGAGCGUUGUCAGAUGGUCUUUGGCGUCGAGCAUCUGCUGCUGGAGCAUCAACUCCUUUGGAGAAGCGAGCUUUUGGAGUAGCUGAUGACAUAUAUGGAGCUGGGUUGCUUAUUGCAUACAUGGCAUUUAUUCCGUUUUGUGAAGCAGGCAUUAUGGAUGGCAUUUCCUUGCAGAGGCUCUUGGAGAACACUUUCCGUCUUGACAUUUACGCUGCAAGAGAGUAUUGCCUGGAAGAUGAUAAAUUGUCGGAAGCUGUAAACUUUCUAGAUUUAGGUGAUGGUGCCGGCUGGGAGUUGCUGCAGGCAAUGCUUAAUCCGGAUUACCGUAAACGACCAAUUGCUGAGGCUGUACUGAACCAUAGGUUUAUUACAGGGGCUCUAUUAUAGAAGUAAUCAUCAGCUAGAUGCGCUUAUACAUUCGUACAAUAGAUGGUGGAGGCAGGUCCCAUUGUGUGAAAGAAAUGUUCAAAUCUAAAGACAUGUUAUGAUCAGGUACUUAAAUAGUGUACCUAAACUAGAGGAACAUUGUAAAUAUAUGCAUGAACAUCAUUUUUGGAAAUACUGCUAGACAUGUUUUUGAGUUAUCAGACUUAGCACGUUUUCUGGACAUGGAGGUAUUUCAGAGACACUAAGUCGAGGGAGGCUACAUGGCGUUCACCCGCUGGGCAAGCACUGAGCGGUUAGAUUCCAACAUCUCCACAAACAUUUGUCCGCACAUGCUCUCUCUAGCAUUUCAGAAAACCUUCGCUUUUUGGGAGAUCAUGCCAUCAGGUUUUAAAGUCCAGCCCUCCAACUUUCAGAAAUCCAAGUUUUCAUUUUUGGUAACCUUCAACUUUUAGAAUUCUAAACUUUCAGGAUUUUUUUUAGAUCAACUUUCGAAAUUCUAAAACUAUUGGAAGAUUCAACUUUCAAAAGUUAAGACUUUCAUGUCGACCAUUUUUGUCAUGUCUACCAGAACUCCCUGGAUAUUUAUGUUUGAUGAGC
rnacentral:rRNA from 1 species